rnacentral:rRNA from 1 species
AACGAACGCUGGCGGCAUGCCUAACACAUGCGAGUCGAACGAGACCUUCGGGUCUAGUGGCGCACGGGUGCGUAACGCGUGGGAACCUGCCCUUAGGUUCGGAAUAACUCCCCGAAAGGGGUGCUAAUACCGGAUAAUGUCUUCGGACCAAGGAUUUAUCGCCUUUGGAUGGGCCCGCGUUGGAUUAGCUAGUUGGUAGGGUAAAAGCCUACCAAGGCGACGAUCCAUAGCUGGUCUGAGAGGAUGAUCAGCCACACUGGGACUGAGACACGGCCCAGACUCCUACGGGAGGCAGCAGUGGGGAAUAUUGGACAAUGGGCGAAAGCCUGAUCCAGCAAUGCCGCGUGAGUGAUGAAGGCCUUAGGGUUGUAAAGCUCUUUUACCCGGGAUGAUAAUGACAGUACCGGGAGAAUAAGCUCCGGCUAACUCCGUG